rnacentral:rRNA from 1 species
UGGGGAAUAUUGCACAAUGGGCGCAAGCCUGAUGCAGCCAUGCCGCGUGUGUGAAGAAGGCCUUCGGGUUGUAAAGCACUUUCAGCGGGGAGGAAGGCGUUAAGGUUAAUAACCUUGGCGAUUGACGUUACCCGCAGAAGAAGCACCGGCUAACUCCGUGCCAGCAGCCGCGGUAAUACGGAGGGUGCAAGCGUUAAUCGGAAUUACUUGGCGUAAAGCGCACGCAGGCGGUUGAUUGAGUCAGAUGUGAAAUCCCCGGGCUUAACCCGGGAAUUGCAUCUGAUACUGGUCAGCUAGAGUCUUGUAGAGGGGGGUGGAAUUCCAUGUGGAGCGGUGAAAUGCGUAGAGAUGUGGAGGAAUACCGGUGGCGAAGGCGGCCCCCUGGACGAAGACUGACGCUCAGGUGCGAAAGCGUGGGGAGCAAACAGG